CAGUCGAACGCACAGCGAAAGGUGCUUGCACCUUUCAAGUGAGUGGCGAACGCGUGAGUAACACGUGGACAACCUGCCUCAAGGCUGGGGAUAACAUUUGGAAACAGAUGCUAAUACCGAAUGAAACUUAGUGUCGCAUGACACGAAGUUAAAAGGCGCUUUGGCGUCACCUAGAGAUGGAUCCGCGGUGCAUUAGUUAGUUGGUGGGGUAAAGGCCUACCAAGACAAUGAUGCAUAGCCGAGUUGAGAGACUGAUCGGCCACAUUGGGACUGAGACACGGCCCAAACUCCUACGGGAGGCUGCAGUAGGGAAUCUUCCACAAUGGGCGAAAGCCUGAUGGAGCAACGCCGCGUGUGUGAUGAAGGCUUUCGGGUCGUAAAGCACUGUUGUAUGGGAAGAACAGCUAGAAUAGGGAAUGAUUUUAGUUUGACGGUACCAUACCAGAAAGGGACGGCUAAAUACGUGCCAGCAGCCGCGGUAAUACGUAUGUCCCGAGCGUUAUCCGGAUUUAUUGGGCGUAAAGCGAGCGCAGACGGUUGAUUAAGUCUGAUGUGAAAGCCCGGAGCUCAACUCCGGAAUGGCAUUGGAAACUGGUUAACCUGAGUGCAGUAGAGAUAAGUGGAACUCCAUGUGUAGCGGUGGAAUGCGUAGAUAUAUGGAAGAACACCAGUGGCGAAGGCGGCUUACUGGACUGUAACUGACGUUGAGGCUCGAAAGUGUGGGUAGCAAACAGGAUUAGAUACCCUGGUAGUCCACACCGUAAACGAUGAACACUAGGUGUUAGGAGGUUUCCGCCUCUUAGUGCCGAAGCUAACGCAUUAAGUGUUCCGCCUGGGGAGUACGACCGC
rnacentral:rRNA from 1 species